CCUACGGGUGGCAGCAGUGAGGAAUAUUGGUCAAUGGACGCAAGUCUGAACCAGCCAUGCCGCGUGCAGGAAGACGGCUCUAUGAGUUGUAAACUGCUUUUGUACGAGGGUAAACGCAGAUACGCGUAUCUGUCUGAAAGUAUCGUACGAAUAAGGAUCGGCUAACUCCGUGCCAGCAGCCGCGGUAAUACGGAGGAUUCAAGCGUUAUCCGGAUUUAUUGGGUUUAAAGGGUGCGUAGGUGGUCGGUUAAGUUAGAGGUGAAAGUCCGAGGCUCAACUUCGGAAUUGCCAUUGAUACUGUUCGGCUAGAGUGUAGUUGCGGUAGGCGGAAUGUAUGGUGUAGCGGUGAAAUGCUUAGAGAUCAUACAGAACACCGAUUGCGAAGGCAGCUUACCAAGCUACUUCUGACGUUGAGGCACGAAAGCGUGGGUAGCAAACAGGAUUAGAUACCCGAGUAGUC
rnacentral:rRNA from 1 species